UGGGGAAUCUUGGACAAUGGGCGCAAGCCUGAUCCAGCAAUGCCGCGUGGGUGAUGAAGGCCUUCGGGUCGUAAAGCCCUGUCAGGGGGGACGAAACCGCCCCGACCUAAUACGUCGGGGACCUGACGGUACCCUCAAAGGAAGCACCGGCUAACUCCGUGCCAGCAGCCGCGGUAAUACGGAGGGUGCGAGCGUUGUUCGGAAUUACUGGGCGUAAAGCGCGUGUAGGCGGUCGGGCAAGUCAGAUGUGAAAGCCUUCCGCUUAACGGAAGAAGUGCAUUUGAAACUACCCGGCUGGAGUACGGGAGAGGAGAGUGGAAUUCCCGGUGUAGAGGUGAAAUUCGUAGAUAUCGGGAGGAACACCAGUGGCGAAGGCGGCUCUCUGGUCCGAUACUGACGCUGAGACGCGAAAGCGUGGGGAGCAAACAGGAUUAGAUACCCUGGUAGUCCACGCCGUAAACGAUGGGCACUAGGUGUAGGAGGUAUUGACCCCUUCUGUGCCGAAGUUAACGCAUUAAGUGCCCCGCCUGGGGAGUACGGCCGCAAGGUUA
rnacentral:rRNA from 1 species